rnacentral:rRNA from 1 species
AGUUGGGCACUCUAGAGAGACUGCCAGGGAUAACCUGGAGGAAGGUGGGGAUGACGUCAAAUCAUCAUGCCCCUUAUGCUUAGGGCUACACACGUGCUACAAUGGGUAGUACAGAGGGUUGCCAAGCCGUAAGGUGGAGCUAAUCCCUUAAAGCUACUCUCAGUUCGGAUUGUAGGCUGAAACUCGCCUACAUGAAGCUGGAGUUACUAGUAAUCGCAGAUCAGAAUGCUGCGGUGAAUGCGUUCCCGGGUCUUGUACACACCGCCCGUCACACCACGGGAGUUGGAGACGCCCGAAGCCGACUAUCUAACCUUUUGGAAGAAGUCGUCGAAGGUGGAAUCAAUAACUGGGGUGAAGUCGUAACAAGGUAGCCGUAUCGGAAGGUGCGGCUGGAUCACCUCCUUUCUAAGGAGA